AACCUUAUGGACCUGCGGGCGUAUACCUGCGGAAGGAUCAUUACCGAGUUAUACAACUCAUCAACCCCUGUGAACUUACCUACAACGUUGCUUCGGCGGGAACAGACGGCCCCGUAAAACGGGCCGCCCCCGCCAGAGGACCCCUAACUCUGUUUUUAUAAUGUUUUUCUGAGUAAACAAGCAAAUAAAUUAAAACUUUUAACAACGGAUCU
rnacentral:misc_RNA from 1 species